GCGGGGAUAGCUCAGUUGGGAGAGCGUCAGACUGAAGUAGCACUUCAGCCUCAAAUAUCUGAAGGUCACCGGUUCAAUCCCGGUUCACCGCA
rnacentral:tRNA from 1 species